rnacentral:misc_RNA from 1 species
GGGCGCUUCUUNGAGGUCCGACCAAUUUCAUUUCCACACACUGUGAACACACUUCAUUUUUACACACAAGUUUAUAAACACACAAGUCUAUAAGAAUGUUUAAAGUCUCUUAAUUGAGCAUAAAGUUAUAAUACAACUUUCGGCAACGGAUCUCUUGGCUCUCGCAUCGAUGAAGAACGCAGCGAAAUGCGAUACGUAAUGUGAAUUGCAGAAUUCAGUGAAUCAUCGAAUCUUUGAACGCACCUUGCACUCUUUGGUAUUCCGAAGAGUAUGUCUGUUUGAGUGUCAUGAAACUCUCAACCCCCUUGUUUUGUAAUGAAGCAGGCGUGGGCUUGGAUUAUGGCUGUCUGCUGGACUCUUUAAUUAGAGAUCGGCGCGGCGGAAAUAUACGAGUAACCCAGU